AAGCACUCGGAUUACUUGUGUCACAUAGAAUUUAGGAUUGAUAGUAUGCACAUUGGGAAGCAGGCUGAGAUCUGACAAACGCCACUUCCUCAAUGACAUCAUCCUCUAGGAAGUGACAUCAUAUUGGAGGCGCCAUACGCAGAUUGAGGCAGUACAACAAACUACCACUAGAGGGCAGAACAUGAUGCAUGUUGUGUCUAAACGAACAAAAGUUUGGCCUCUGGCUCCUGCAGGGCCCCCAAGCGAGCACUUUUUUGGGGUUCACAGUGUGGUGACCUCUGAGGAGAUGCAGUAACGUCCUGAACUCUUCAGCAUCAAAGAGAUCUGCGGGGGGCGGAGCUGAUACAGAACGCAUCACAAUGCCGGUCCACCUACACUCUCCCGCUCCUGUUCCUCACUUUCCUCAAGUAUGCGAAUAUGAAUGACUUCAGUCCUCUCCCUGUGACCUCUCUAUCACAUCACCUCUGGUUUGCAGCAGUGAUUCUUUGCAUUUCUUUAGGAUAAAAGCAGCACGAUAUCAGGCAGCGGUCAAAGAGCAGGUCUACUUUCCCUCGUUCUCCCCCUCUCUUGUUUUCUGCCUCUGGCAAAUCAUUCCCUCUCCUCUCCUCUUCUCUUCUUUUCUCUUUUUUUUUUCUCUUUCUCUGUUCUUGUUGGGCUGUAAUUUAUGAUGUUGCAGCAGCACAAAUGAGAUGAAGCUUUUAUAACAGACGCCUGCUGACACACUUUAGCUCCCCUCUCUCUGUUAGGGAAAGUUAUUGGGCUUGUUAGUAACGGUCAUAAAAAGCUCGGGGCCGUUCACACUGUGCUUGUCAUGAUGUAGUUUAGUUAAUGUCAUUGUUUCAAGAGGGUGAAGUUAAUAAAUCACUAACUUCUCAAUGUGCUG
ensembl:lncRNA